CAAGAUUCUCGGGGUAAGGUGAAAUUCCUGACCGGCGGUGAUGUUCCAAGUGAACUAAGCCCGCGACUCGUUACUCUUUUACAAGAGAAAGCGACUGAUCUGGUGACAAUCCAGAGCCGACGGUAAAGUCCGGAUGGGAGAGGAUCAUA
rfam:Paenibacillus sp. FSL R5-0912, complete genome.